rnacentral:antisense_RNA from 1 species
GAUCAGCCCUGGGGUUCAGAGGGAUCCUGACGGCUACUCCUCAAGAUCCUCUCUGUUGUGAUUCAUCCCCCCCAGGCCCUACAGUUUCUCCUUCCUGACUCUUACAUUUCUUUGGAUGGCAUCACUAUUGCUGGAGUGCAGUGGUGUGAUCUCAGCUCACUGCAACCCCUGCCUCCUGGAUUCAAGCAAUUCUCCUGCCUCAGCCUCCCAAGUAGCUGGGAUUGCAGUACCUGUCUCCUCCCAUAGUUAGUUGCCAAGCACUGUGGAUUCUACCCCUCAGGGUCCAGACACCCAUUUUCCUUCCCACUGUUCCCUCCCCAUGGAGAAGCCUGUGGCUGACUGACAGCUCAACUUGGAGAAGGUGUUACCUGGGCCAGGUGGGGAAGGUAGGGUUGUUUGCAGAGCAAAGAAGUGAAGCCUAUUCAAUGUGAAAAAGAUGAGGGCGAAGACCUUUAUGAUGAUCCAAGUAAUGAACACACUGGAGAAAGUCAAACAGUCAAAACAAUGUCCCAGACUCCGUGAAGUUCCUGGGUAGAGAAGUAGACAGACGUACACCAUACCUAAUAAUUGGAGGUCCAAGAGAAUGAGAGAAUGGCAGAAAGAACUUUAGAGCAUGGGUAUGAUGGCUAGAGCUUGAGCAGCCAUUGUGGACAUCAGAUGAACCUGAAAGUGAAAACUAUGAGCUGAAUAUGACAAAGCAAAUAGAAAACUGGAUUCAUGAUGAC